rnacentral:rRNA from 1 species
GAUGAACGCUAGCGAUAGGCUUAACACAUGCAAGUCGAGGGGCAGCAUGCUCUUAGCUUGCUAAGACUGAUGGCGACCGGCGCACGGGUCCGUAACGCGUAUGCAACUUGCCUCACAGAGGGGGAUAACCCGCCGAAAGACGGACUAAUACCGCGUACACUUGGGAUAGGGCAUCCUGACCCAAGGAAAUGAAAUUCGCUGUGAGCUAGGCAUGCGUCCCAUUAGCUAGUUAGUGAGGUAACGGCUCACCAAGGCGACGAUGGGUAGGGGAACUGAGGGGUUCAACCCCCGCGCUGGUACUGAGACACGGACCAGGCUCCUCCGGGCGGCAGCAGUGGGGAAUAUUGGUCAAUGGGCGAGAGCCUGAACCAGCCAAGUCGCGUGAAGGAUGACUGUCUUAUGGAUUGUAAACUUCUUUUAUACGGGAAUAACAAGAGCCACGUGUGGCUCCGUGCCUGUACCGUAUGAAUAAGCAUCGGCUAACUCCGUG